CCUGAGUAUAUAUAUAUAUAUAUACAAUUCAUUCUUUCAAGCAUAUCCCCUUUUUUCAAGACAAUUAAUCUUCAUCUAUCGAAUAAUUCAAAAAUUUACACGUCUGUGAUUUACACAUGAAAAUACCAUCAAAUGGUUCAACACAAUAUCAAUUAAAUCACUAGUCUUCUUUUCAUGCACUCCUACUCACGAUAGAUCGCCUCAUAGCUUUAACCUGCAAAUUAAGCAAGAUUGAGCACGACGGCCCAGCAAGUCUAACAGUCUAUCAUGCAUCAUGUAGCACAUAGGUUUCACAUUCAGUUCAUGCAUUUAUAUUCUUGGUGUUCAAGCAUAUUACCAAUGCAUUAUCACAUUUAUGUGCUGCUGGUAGCAACAUACAUACCAUAGUAUACUACACGUGUCAUGUUUAUGUCAUUCAUUGCACAUAUAUAUUGAGUUCCCCGACUCAAUUCAAUAAUUAGUCAUAAUUUGACAUUCAUCAUUCACAAAGCAAAUAAUGCAGUUCAUAGGUAUUACAUACUUAUAAACAUAAAUCAUGCUAACAGUUAUCUAUAGCAAUUAUAAGUCCACAUAAAUAAACUGAGAGACUUGCCUUGAGUGCUGUUUAAUGUUAUAACUUAUCUGCUCGGUGAUGAUCCUACACAAAUUGAGUAUAUAUAUUCAGACACACAUUAGUUUCACAUACUAAAUUCACAUACAUAAUGUAAACUAAUUUUUAUUUUACAUUAAGUAUAAUCUUUUUGUUCUUGUCUUAAAAUCAUUCCACGUUUCUUUAGAAACUUUUGUCUGUUAUAACCCUUUUUAUGCACAAAAAGGAAUUCUCUCAUGGUUUUAGUAUAUAAAUACUUUACAUCUCGAAGCAUAGACCAAUUAUAUACCAUUUUAAAAAUAUCUUUC
rnacentral:lncRNA from 1 species